GAAGCUGUUGAACUUUUAAUGGAGGUUGAAGACCUUGAUCUGUUAGUUGAGCAUGUUGAUAAGACAAAUUUUAAGAGGACUUGUCUCUACCUCACCAAUUCAGCAAGAAAUACCAUAAAGUGUAUUAGAGCACAUGGUUCCAUGAAUUCCAGUCUUCCACCAUCCCUAUCCCCAUCACUACCACCACUAGCUUGAAGUAAUAAAUUCUGUCAAACCAGUUGAAACGACACCUGUAAGGCCAGUAAGGAAGAUUCAACCAAGGCGCCGGAGAGAUAGGAGGACCCGGUAGUGUUUAUUUGUUUGUGUUUAUUUUGUUCUAAUGUUUUAUCAAGGAUGAUGUAUGAGA